rnacentral:rRNA from 1 species
GUCCGGGGCCAAUUCAUCCUGAACACACCUUAGAAGAUAAGCAGGGUCGGGCCUGGUUAGUAAUUGGAUGGGAGCAGCUGGGUCAGAGGCAUGGGACAUCUGGGAUU